UGAUGCCCAGGGCACACUUUGGCCCAAGUAGUAAGCAAGACUAGCAUAUCCCCAGUGGCAGAGCCAGCCUGUUCCAGGCUUCAUGGCCAGUAGGUAUCAAGUAGCUGCAAGUGGAAGAACUUAAACUUGAGAGGACAGUUGUGAGUUCACGUGAGGAAAGUCUGGGGGCUCCUGGGAAUGACCAGGUGAGACAACAGCAGAAGACUCCUGUGGUGAGCAGCAGGAGGCAGAGGCCAUGAAAUCUGAGUUACUACUGUCACUGGGAACUUAUUUUGCCUAACAGCUAGUGUGGCCCCAAGAAACACAGGUAACAGCAGAACGUCCUGAAAGUGACAGCCAAGAAAAUGGAUUUCAGAGCAUACAUGGAACACCUCUGGGGGCUCCCAGAACAAGAUAUCCGGGGCUCAACCUGGACCUGCGUUAAAGUCAGAAUUGAGGAGUGGACACCAGCAAACGGAUGUAGAAGUGUGCUCACAUCCCCUUCGUCAACUGCAAUCUCGUUUAAGGCCCUGGGGUCUCCUGGAAGGGAAGUUGGAAUCACGGGGCCACAUGGCAUUCCCUGGAGUCCUCCCCACCCUGUAGUGUCACCAGCCAGCCAGCACCAUCACAGGUGGCCCCAUCUUACCUCAGGUAAUGAGAGUGCUCUCAAGGCUGGGCCACGUCACCUGCCUACGCAGGAUGGAGCUGGAGUGUGCCUUUUCUGACCAUGGUAGUCUCCGUCGACUCCGAGUUGAGGGCCUGUCACACAGUCACUCACUCACUCUGUAGAUUGAAAUCUGGGCCUCAAUUCCUAUAGAACAGGCUACCCCUCCUCCCUGACAGCACAAUCUAAAAAGAGCAGCAAGGUAGUGGGUUCCACAUUCCCUCUUACACAGGAUUGCAUGUGUGAGACAGAAAGUGAGACCAACAGUAAAUAAAUAAAUACAUAAAUAAAUAAAUAAAAAAUAAACCCACUGGCAUGUUUUCACUGAGAAAAUGUCUGCAGAUGGCCACCCUGUGGGGUGGGUAUUAUCCCCUGUGUGGUUUCUUUUUUGGUUUGAGG
rnacentral:lncRNA from 10 species